GUUAUUGUUUUGUUUUUUGGCCUCGCAGGCCAAACCAAAACGAAUCGAGCUUUCGCGUUGGGCCUUUUUCUUAAAAAAGUAUUUUUGCUCGUUUUUUGUUAAGUUAACUGUUAAUAUCCCGGUUUUUCGCAUUAUUUGUAUUUUUGAUCGAGUUUUCCUUCAUUCCAAAAGAAAAGUGCGUGAUACUUUGAAGCCAAAAAAAUGUCCACAAACUCGGAUGAUUAUGGGCGGUAGGAGCUUCAGAUAUUCCCUGGACAUAGCAUGAGGACAACCCGGCCAGAAUGACUUCUUCGAGGAAACACAUUAAGUCAUCUGUGGACGGAAUAUUGUCGUACGAUCUCGAUGGCGACGAUUGGUGCAAUCCAAUAUCUGAGACGUAGGUACCAAGCCGCCAAAUCGGAUGGCCAUCUCCGUCGAACCUAUGUUGCCUAAGGGUCGAUGGCACCGACGACUUGACCGAGACCCAGGGAAAA